rnacentral:rRNA from 1 species
GCAAGUCGAACGAGAACGGGUAUUAGCUUGCUAAUACUGUCAGCUAAGUGGCGCACGGGUGAGUAAUAUAUAGUUAACCUGCCCUAGAGAAGGGGAUAACGUUUGGAAACGAACGCUAAUACCCUAUAUGCCUUUAAGUCUUAAGACUGCAAGGGAAAUAUUUAUAGCUCGAAGAUUGGCCUGUACGGUAUCAGCUAGUUGGUGAGGUAAUGGCUCACCAAGGCAAUGACACCUAACUGGUUUGAGAGGAUGAUC